GAUGAAGAACGUAGCGAAAUGCGAUAAGUAGUGUGAAUUGCAGAAUUCAGUGAAUCAUCGAGUCUUUGAACGCACAUUGCGCCCCCUGGUAUUCCGGGGGGCAUGCCUGUCCGAGCGUCAUUGCUGCCCUCAGGCACGGCUUGUGUGUUGGGCCUCCGUCCUCCUCCCGGGGGACGGGCCCGAAAGGCAGCGGCGGCACCGCGUCCGGUCCUCGAGCGUAUGGGGCUUCGUCACCCGCUCUUGUAGGCCCGGCCGGCGCUUGCCGACACAUCAAUCUUUUUUCCAGGUUGACCUCGGAUCAGGUAGGGAUACCCGCUGAACUUAAGCAUAUCAAUAAGCGGAGGA
rnacentral:misc_RNA from 1 species